GAUUUUUCCCACAACCGUCUUAACGGUUCUAUUCCUGCAAGUUUCUCCGGCCUUCCUAAUCUACAAAGACUGUCAUUGGACAAUAAUAACUUGGAUGGCUCUGUUCCAUCUGAUGUUUGGCAAAAUAUCGAUUUCAGUGGAAACAGAACCCUGAUAUUGGAUUUCCACAACAACGGUCUCACGAAUCUGUCAAAUCCUCUUACGCCCCCUGCUAAUGUUACCAUCCUGUUAUCUGGAAACCCCGUAUGUCAAUCCCAGAACCAACUGAACAUAGCUCAGUAUUGUCAAUCAACUCCAGAAGUUACCGCCGAAGGAGGCUCCAUAGAUAACAGCACACUUUGUGCGCCAUGCGCAACCGACUUUCCUUUAGAAAGCGUACUCAAGGCUCCAAAUCCAUGUUCAUGUGGCGUUCCACUGUACGUCGAUUAUCGGCUGAAGAGUCCAGGAUUCUGGGAUUUUGUUCCCUAUGAAGCGCAGUUUCAGGAGUACCUGUCGUCGGGGCUCUUUCUCAACUCGUACCAGCUGGAAGUUACCACUUUCAUGUGGGAAGAAGGCCCAAGGCUGAAGAUGACGCUGAAGCUGUUCCCAAACAACACCAUUCUUUUCAAUUCGCGUGAAGUGGAGAGACUGAGAUACAUGUUCACAGGGUGGCUCAUCGCGGACUCGGAUAUAUUUGGGCCCUAUGAGCUUAUCAACUUCAACCCAGGGUGGUAUGAGAACGUACUGUCGCGUGGUACAAAGAAAAGUCUCAGUACAGGUGCAAUUGUUGGUAUUGUCAUCGCAGCAUUUGCUGCAGCGGCAGUUCUGUCAUCACUCAUUACUCUCAUCAUAUUGAGAAGGCGUUCAAGACAGUUUUCAAAGAAACGCACCGCGAAAAGGAUUCCGAUGAAAAUUGAUGGCGUGAAAGACUUCACUUUCGAAGAAUUAUCAAACUGUACAAAUGAUUUCAGUGAGUCGGCACUAAUUGGUCAAGGAGGGUAUGGAAAAGUAUACAGGGGGGUGUUGGCUGAUGGAAAAGUAGCAGCAAUAAAACGUGCACAGGAGGGAUCUCUUCAGGGUUCCAAGGAGUUCUUCACGGAGAUAGAAUUGUUGUCCAGGCUGCAUCACCGAAACCUCGUUUCUUUGCUUGGCUAUUGCGACGAAGAGGAUGAGCAGAUGCUGGUGUACGAGUACAUGCCAAAUGGUACUCUACGUGAUCAUCUUUCAGCUAAAGCUAGAGAGUCUCCAAGUUUUCCCAUGAGGCUACGAAUCGCACUGGGAUCAUCACGGGGCAUCCUGUAUCUGCACACGGAAGCCGACCCUCCGAUAUUCCAUCGCGACAUCAAGGGCAGCAACAUCUUACUGGACUCCAAGUUUGUAGCCAAGGUUGCUGAUUUCGGCCUGUCGCGGCUGGCUCCGCUGCCAGACACAGAGGGGAGCGCCCCUGGCCACGUGUCCACCGUCGUCAAGGGCACUCCGGGUUAUCUUGACCCGGAGUAUUUCCUGACGCACAAGCUGACGGACAAGAGCGACGUGUACAGCCUGGGCGUGGUGUUCCUGGAGUUGCUUACAGGGAUGCAGCCUAUUUCUCAUGGGAAGAACCUUGUGAGGGAGGUUGUGGCGGCGAACCAGUCGGGGAUGAUCCUGUCGGUGGUGGAUCUGCGGAUGGGGGCCGUGCCGGGGGAGUGCGUGGAGCGGUUCGCCGCGCUGGGGCUGCGGUGCUGCCGGGACGAGACGGACGCGCGGCCGUCCAUGGCGGAGGUGGUCAGGGAGCUGGAGACCAUCUGGCAGAUGACGCCCGACACGGACGGUGUGCCCUCGGAGUCGGUGGCCAUGGACCCCACCCACACGCCGGCGUCGUCGUCGACAGCAACCGGGUCUCGGACGGGCAACGAGCAGUACGACAUGUCGACGUCGGACGUGUCUGGCAGCAACCUUCUGAGCGGCGUGGUGCCCAGCAUCAACCCUCGCUGA
rnacentral:rRNA from 1 species